UCUAACACUCCCCCCGUUGGACCUUCGUCUAACUCAGAAUCCGAACUCGAAUCUGAUGUUUUGUCCAAGAAUGGAGCGGUAUUCUCAUACUCUGGGUCUAUCUGUCCGGCGUGAAGCUCUAAUGGAUAUAGACAUUUGAUGUCUCUGAAGAUCGUUGUUGAUCCCUUCCCUUUAGUCUUGUCUGCUAUUAGCACAGCUACUCGUCGAAACUUUUUAUCUGCUCCGGGGUAGAGUUUAGCUACUCUUCCUGUCUUCCAUUUGGAUCUUUUCGCAUUUUCGUCAUGUAUUAUUACGACUUGCCCGAUUUCUACCUGUUUGACCUGUCCCGGGGUGGGACAGUGGAAUUUUUCUAAAUCCGCCACGUAUUCUUGGUUGAAGUUCUCCCACCAAGUGGCUAGUAGAUCUCGGCGUAGUCGCUCUCUUUUGGUCAGAGUUACUCUGUCUGAGUACUCUGUCUCUCUUUCGUCUAUCGUGUGUCUUUGCCCUUGUCUGUGUCCCGAUAUUAAUUGUUUCGGUGUCAGUGGCUCGUUGUCUUCUUCCGACACGAAAGUUAAGGGUCUUGUAUUGAUUGUGUCCUCUAUUUCUGUCAGCACUGUCUGAAAUAGAUCGUAUUCUAACCUGCCUACUCCAUAAGUUUUGUACAGCAGUCUCUUUACUGUCUGUACCAUCCUCUCCCAAAAUCCUCCCCACCAGGGAGCUAGACUCGGGGAGAACCUCCAUUUGAUAUUUAACCCGGCUAGGGUAUUAUAUACUUUCUCGCUUUUGUAUGCUGACCUUAAGUAUUUUGCUGCCUUCGUGAACGUACCCGCGUUGUCUGAAUACAUUGUCUUGGGGAAUCCCCUUCUCGAAAAGAAUCUUCUUAAGGCGUAUAUGAAUGUUGCUAGCCCCUGAUCUGUGGUGACUUCUAAGUGCACCGCUCUUGUGACUGCGCAUGUGAACAAGCAUAUAUAUGCUUUCGCAUUUAUAUUUGUUCCGAUUUCUACAGGAAAAGGUCCGGCGAAGUCUACCCCUGUCGCCGUAAAGGGAUUCGAAAUCAACAAUCUGUUGAUUGGUAGGGGAGCCGGAACCUCAUUAAAUGCGUGCGAGUCUAACCUUUGGCAUUUUACACACCUCCUGAGCUGUUUUUUGGGCUGCUGCGAUCACUGCUGCGUUGGUAGCUCUGGUCUUGUUGAGUUCCUCUAGUUGUUUUUGCUCCUCAGCGUUGAGUAGUGGCACGCCCUUCUGCGCUUCUGGUACCGGUCUGGCGUACGGUUUUGGUCUUUUGCUCUCGACUUUCUUUUGUUCUGGGAAUGGUUCUGGUAGUCUUAAGCGUCUAAAGACCCCCUUGGGAAUAGUGUUUUCCAACUCUUUCCACAAGGUGUAGCUACGCACAUCGGAGUCCAGCAAGGAUUGAAAAUAAUUAUACACGUUCUUCUGGUGUUCUGCCACUGAAAUCAGAGCCCAACACCGGAGUGUCAGCGUUUUUUUUUGUGUGUAUUUCUAGGCCUAGCACCGAAGUGCCAGCGUAUAUCUUUUGUUUAUUGGCCAACCUGUCACCUUAUCGGGUGACAGUAUCAAGAAGAGUUUUGCCGUAGAGUACGGAAAAGGAAUGCGGUUUAUUGCCGCGACACAGCAGCAAUAAUCAAAGAUGAAGAGAAGUAGAGAAUAUAUAUAUAUCUAAUUACUAAUGACGAGGUCUUCUUCUUCUGUAGAUGGCUGGAGGCUCCGGAUGGUUGUUGGCUGGAAUAGUUGGCGGAGGUGGUCUCGAGGGACACAGCAAGGCGGCCGAAGUGACAGGCAGCAAUCCAAUCCGCGAACAGCAAAGGCAAUAGCAGGCAGCGGCGACAACAACAACAACAAGAACAGAAAACCAAUCAAAGACAAUACUACCGAAUGAAGGAGACGAACGCCGGGAAAAUCGGUGGAAAAAUAGUGUGUAUUAAUGAGGCCUAUUUCAGCCCCUUAUAUACCAAUUAUAAAAACA